ensembl:snRNA U4 U4 spliceosomal RNA
AGCUUGGUGCAGUGGCAGUGUCGUAGCCAACGAGGUUCAUCCGAGGUGCGGUUAUUGCUAAUUGAAAACUUUUCCCAAUACCCCGCCAUGACGACUUGAAUUAGUUUCCCGUUGCUACUUUAACAAAUUGCCACAAAU